AGCGCAGGCGGUUUGAUAAGUCUGAAGUAAAAGGCUGUGGCUUAACCAUAGUAUGCUUUGGAAACUGUCAAACUUGAGUGCAGAAGGGGAGAGUGGAAUUCCAUGUGUAGCGGUGAAAUGCGUAGAUAUAUGGAGGAACACCGGUGGCGAAAGCGGCUCUCUGGUCUGUAACUGACGCUGAGGCACGAAAGCGUGGGGAGCAAACA
rnacentral:rRNA from 1 species